AGAACGAACGCUGGCGGCAUGCCUAACACAUGCAAGUCGAACGCCUGUAGCAAUACAGGAGUGGCGCACGGGUGAGUAACGCGUGGGAACCUGCCCUGGAGUGGGGGAUAACCGAGGGAAACCUCGGCUAAUACCGCAUACGACCUGAGGGUGAAAGAUUUAUCGCUCUAGGAGGGGCCCGCGUCGGAUUAGCUAGUUGGUGAGGUAACGGCUCACCAAGGCGAUGAUCCGUAGCUGGUCUGAGAGGAUGAUCAGCCACACUGGGACUGAGACACGGCCCAGACUCCUACGGGAGGCAGCAGUGGGGAAUAUUGGACAAUGGGGGCAACCCUGAUCCAGCAAUGCCGCGUGAGUGAUGAAGGCCUUAGGGUUGUAAAGCUCUUUCGGCGGGACGAUGAUGACGGUACCCGCAGAAGAAGCCCCGGCUAACUUCGUGCCAGCAGCCGC
rnacentral:rRNA from 1 species